UGAAGAUUGGUGUAACGGCAACACACGACGCUCUGAACGUCGCAGUUCUUGGUUCGAAUCCAGGGUCUUCAG
rnacentral:tRNA from 1 species